rnacentral:rRNA from 1 species
GACGAACGCUGGCGGCGUGCCUAAUACAUGCAAGUCGAACGCAGUGGGGACGGGUGAGUAACACGUGGUUAACCUCCCAUCAGAGGGGAUAACACUUGGCAACAGGUGCUACACCGAUACUGAUGGAUGGACCCGCGGUGCAUUAGCUAGUUGGGGAGGUAACGGCUCACCAGGGCCACGAUGCAUAGACGACCGGGGAGAGGGAUCGGCGACACGGGGACGGGGACAGGGCCCAUGCGACUACGGGAGGGAGCAGUAGGGAAUCGUCGGCAAUGGACGAGAGUCUUGCCGAGCAACGGCGCGUGAGAGAAGGAGGUUUUCGGAUCGUAAAACUCUGUUGUGAGAGGAGCGGUAUCGAACCAGAAAGCCACGGCUAACUACGUGCCAGCCGCCGCGGUAAUUC